UAAACCGGGCCCCCGGAAGUGUUGCCUCUCGGCUAGGGGGGAGCCGGGGGCUGGUGCUGGGCCGCGCCGCGCCGCGAAGGCGGUAUCGCUGACUGCUGCAGCGAGCGUAUUUCUACACGCAGCAAUUUCCCGUACGCUCUAGUGCAAGAAACUGCUCGCUGGAGACAUUUGCUCCAUCAGGCACCAGUUUAAUACAACAGCAGCUUCGAACACUCGACAAGUCCCGGAAAGUGCUGCCGGUAGCACAGUCCUACGAGGAGCAGCGUCCUUCGCUACAGGGGCAGCCACGCGGACCCAGCGCCCGGUCACACCCCCGGCCACCUCCUCAUCAGCGGGCCGACACCGCGCGGCACCACGGGAAAGCGAGUCCGCCCGCCCCCUACUGCGGGACUCCAAUUCCCCCGAACGAGACUGAGGAGGCCCGAGCGGGCCUACAACUCCCAGAGUGCACCACGCAGGCGGGCCUACGAGCCGCGACGUGGGACAAACCUAUUUAGAACGUUUUGCUCUUUCCCCGCCAUUCUAUUGGUCCGCAGCCGCCGAGCGAGUGAACGAGCCCCCCGUCUGAUUGGUCCGCUGCCGCGGGGCGGGGAAUAUAAACCGGGGCCCCGGAAGUGCUGCCUUUCGGCUGGGGAGGAGCCGGGGGCUGGUGCUGAAGCUGGGCCGCGCCGCGAAAGCGGAAGGGGCAGUGACCUGAAUGUUUGCUUCCUUUCCUCUUGCCUGGAGGAGAUGAGAUCUCUGGGGGAUCUUGCUGGGAAAUGCAUCUGAGUUACUGUGUGACCUUCUAGACAAACUUUCCUGUCAAUUUCUCACGG